rnacentral:miRNA from 1 species
AGAUCAUGCGGCAGUUUCAUC